GGUAUUCCUUAUCUGUGUCUAAUUACGUUGAAUUGUCUGGAGCCUGUCUCUUUGUGCUCUGUGGGCAAAACACAAAGAGACAGGCCCGUCGUUUAUACCUUUAUAGGUACGUGC
rnacentral:sRNA from 1 species